AUACUUACCUGGCAGGGGAGAUACCAUGAUCACGAAGGUGGUUUUCGCAGGGUGAGGCUUAUCCAUUGCACUCCGGAUGUGCUGACCCCUGUGAUUUCCCCAAAUGCGGGAAACUCAACUGCAUAAUUUGUGGUAGUGGGGGACUGCGUUCGCGCUCUCCCCUG
rnacentral:snRNA from 1 species